AUUGAACGCUGGCGGCAGGCUUAACACAUGCAAGUCGAGCGGAGAGAGGUAGCUUGCUACUGAUCUUAGCGGCGGACGGGUGAGUAAUGCUUAGGAAUCUGCCUAUUAGUGGGGGACAACAUUUCGAAAGGAAUGCUAAUACCGCAUACGUCCUACGGGAGAAAGCAGGGGAUCUUCGGACCUUGCGCUAAUAGAUGAGCCUAAGUCGGAUUAGCUAGUUGGUGGGGUAAAGGCCUACCAAGGCGACGAUCUGUAGCGGGUCUGAGAGGAUGAUCCGCCACACUGGGACUGAGACACGGACCAGACCCCUACGGGAGGCAGCAGCGGGGAAUGUUGGACAAUGGGCGGAAGCCUGAUCCAGCCAUGCCGCGUGUGUGAAGAAGGCCUUAUGGUUGUAAAGCACUUUAAGCGAGGAGGAGGCUACUUUAGUUAAUACCUAGAGAUAGUGGACGUUACUCGCAGAAUAAGCACCGGCUAACUCUGUGCCAGCAGCCGCCGCCGUAA
rnacentral:rRNA from 1 species